AUUACAAAUAUACUGGCAGGGAAGUGGCUGUAUAUUUUAAAUCAUUGUGCCCAUAGAGCAUUAGCACUGAUGAAGUUCAGCCUGUUAUUUUGUUUGGAGACCUAACUUGUGAAGAUUGAGGGUCUACCAGCACAAAUUCACUGAUCAAUGCUGCAGAUAAG